rnacentral:rRNA from 1 species
CCCUUAGAUGUUCUGGGCCGCACGCGCGCUACACUGACGAAUGCAACGAGCUUAUAACCUUGGCUGAAAGGUCUGGGUAAUCUCCAAAUUUCGUCGUGAUGGGGAUAGAUUAUUGCAAUUAUUAAUCUUCAACGAGGAAUGCCUAGUAAGCGCAAGUCAUCAGCUUGCGUUGAUUACGUCCCUGCCCUUUGUACACACCGCCCGUCGCUCCUACCGAUUGAAUGGUCCGGUGAAGCGCUCGGACCGCGGCCUCUUGACGGUUCGCUGUCGAUUGGCUGUGGGAAGUUCGUUAAACCUUAUCAUUUAGAGGAAGGAGAAGUCGUAACA